rnacentral:rRNA from 1 species
AGAGUUUGAUCCUGGCUCAGAACGAACGCUGGCGGCAGGCUUAACACAUGCAAGUCGAACGCCCGUAGCAAUACGGGAGUGGCGGACGGGUGAGUAACGCGUGGGAACGUACCCUGAGGUACGGAAUAACCGAGGGAAACUUCGGCUAAUACCGUAUGAGCCCCGCAAGGGGGAAAGAUUUAUCGCCUUGGGAGCGGCCCGCGUCGGAUUAGCUAGUUGGUGGGGUAACGGCCUACCAAGGCUUCGAUCCGUAGCUGGUCUGAGAGGACGAUCAGCCACACUGGGACUGAGACACGGCCCAGACUCCUACGGGAGGCAGCAGUGGGGAAUCUUGCGCAAUGGGGGCAACCCUGACGCAGCCAUGCCGCGUGAACGAUGAAGGCCUUAGGGUUGUAAAGUUCUUUUACCCGUGACGAUGAUGACGGUAACGGGGGAAUAAGCUCCGGCUAACUUCGUGCCAGCAGCCGCGGUAAUACGAAGGGGGCUAGCGUUGUUCGGAAUUACUGGGCGUAAAGGGCGCGUAGGCGGCGAUUUUAGUCAGGCGUGAAAGCCCUGGGCUCAACCUAGGAACUGCGUUUGAUACUGGAUCGCUUGAGUGUGGGAGAGGAUGGUGGAAUUCCCAGUGUAGAGGUGAAAUUCGUAGAUAUUGGGAAGAACACCGGUGGCGAAGGCGGCCACCUGGCUCGCAUCUGACGCUGAGGCGCGAAAGCGUGGGGAGCAAACAGGAUUAGAUACCCUGGUAGUCCACGCCGUAAACGAUGAGUGCCAGGUGUCGGGGGACUUAGUCCUUCGGCGCCGCAGCUAACGCCUUAAGCACUCCGCCUGGGGAGUACGGCCGCAAGGUUAAAACUCAAAGGAAUUGACGGGGGCC